rnacentral:rRNA from 1 species
AUUGAACGCUGGCGGCAUGCCUUACACAUGCAAGUCGAACGGCAGCACGGGUGCUUGCACCUGGUGGCGAGUGGCGAACGGGUGAGUAAUACAUCGGAACAUGUCCUGUAGUGGGGGAUAGCCCGGCGAAAGCCGGAUUAAUACCGCAUACGAUCCACGGAUGAAAGCCGGGGACCUUCGGGCCUCGCGCUAUAGGGUUGGCCGAUGGCUGAUUAGCUAGUUGGUGGGGUAAAGGCCUACCAAGGCGACGAUCAGUAGCUGGUCUGAGAGGACGACCAGCCACACUGGGACUGAGACACGGCCCAGACUCCUACGGGAGGCAGCAGUGGGGAAUUUUGGACAAUGGGCGAAAGCCUGAUCCAGCAAUGCCGCGUGUGUGAAGAAGGCCUUCGGGUUGUAAAGCACUUUUGUCCGGAAAGAAAUCCUUGACUCUAAUACAGUCGGGGGAUGACGGUACCGGAAGAAUAAGCACCGGCUAACUACGUG